rnacentral:rRNA from 1 species
ACGGGGGGAGCAAGCGUUGUUCGGAUUUACUGGGCGUAAAGGGCGCGUAGGCGGUCAGCACAAGUCAGUUGUGAAAUCUCCGGGCUUAACUCGGAAAGGUCAACUGAUACUGUGCGACUAGAGUGCGGAAGGGGCAACUGGAAUUCUCGGUGUAGCGGUGAAAUGCGUAGAUAUCGAGAGGAACACCUGCGGCGAAGGCGGCGCUCUGGAACGUAUCUGACGCUGAGACACGAAAGCGUGGGGAGCAAACAGGA